UUGUGCAAGCACUGGGAAAGAGGAAAGCAGAGAGGAAUAUAAAAAACGAAUUUAUUGUCUGCGCUCUUCCCAGGUGGGUGAGAUUUACAGAGUCCUGGCUAUUUAUAGCUUCAGUUUAUUUGCUACAUGAUCCAAAAAUUGAACGAAACAUGCUGAAAUUCAGCAGCGGGAAAAAUAAGGAUAUUUUGGAAGUUUGUUUUGGAAGAUUGAUCCAUUGCUUCUCAAAGUACCUUCUGAUGAAAUCCAAUCUUGUAAAAUGCUACUGAAAUGGUCUCAUAAUCAACCUAGCUUUAAAAAAUUGUACAAAAAAAAAUUGUACAUAUACUUUCCUAUGAAUUUAAGCCUUAGUAAAAAUUACAGUAAAAA